UAAUCUCACUCCUUCAACUUUGUUGUUGGUGGAUGUGGACUUGGACUCUGUCGUGUUAUGACGACUGGUCUGAAAUGCCUGAGUGCACCCUGCUGUUGCAGCGUCUUCAGUGUGAUAAGCAUCUUCACUGAUUCAAGUUCCCUUUGGGACACGUAGCAUUGUGGGCUCUGUGCUGACGAACCGUCUUUGGACAAUGUUUGACA
rnacentral:misc_RNA from 1 species